rnacentral:miRNA from 1 species
UGUGUGUGUGUGUGUGUGUGUGUGUGUGUGUGUGUAUAUAUAUAUAUAUACACACAUACAUAUACACACACACACU